CCUACGGGAGGCAGCAGUGGGGAAUAUUGCACAAUGGGGGAAACCCUGAUGCAGCGACGCCGCGUGAGCGAUGAAGUAUUUCGGUAUGUAAAGCUCUAUCAGCAGGGAAGAAAAUGACGGUACCUGACUAACCAUCCCCGGCUAACUCCGUGCCAGCAGCCGCGGGAAUACGUAGGGGGCAAGCGUUAUCCGGAUUUACUGGGUGUAACGGGAGCGUAGACGGCGGUGCAAGCCAGAGGUGAAAGCCCGGGGCUCAACCCCGGGACUGCAUUUGGAACUGUGCGGCUAGAGUGUCGGAGAGGCAGGCGGAAUUCCUAGUGUAGCGGUGAAAUGCGUAGAUAUUAGGAGGAACACCAGUGGCGAAGGCGGCCUGCUGGACGAUGACUGACGUUGAGGCUCGAAAGCGUGGGGAGCAAACAGGAUUAGAUACCCUUGUAGUC
rnacentral:rRNA from 1 species